rnacentral:tRNA from 1 species
UCCUUAGCUCAGACUGGGAGAGCACUACGCUGAAGACCUAAAUCCUGGGUUCAAAUCCCAGAGGACCCA